rnacentral:rRNA from 1 species
UACAGAGGUCUCAAGCGUUGUUCGGAUUCAUUGGGCGUAAAGGGUGCGUAGGCGGCGCGGUAAGUCGGGUGUGAAAUCUCGGAGCUUAACUCCGAAACUGCAUUCGAUACUGCCGUGCUUGAGGACUGGAGAGGAGACUGGAAUUCCCGGUGUAGCGGUGAAAUGCGCAGAUAUCGUGAGGAACACCAGAGGCGAAGGCGGUUACCUGGACAGUUACUGACGCUCAGGCACGAAAGCAUGGGGAGCAAAAGGG